rfam:Danio rerio chromosome 4, GRCz11 reference primary assembly.
UCAUUGGUGGUUCACUGGUAGAAUUCUUGCCUGCCACGCGGGAGACCAGGGUCCGAUUCCUGGCCAAUGCA